UAUUAAAGCAAAGAAAUAUUAAAAGGAGACCACACCCGAUCUCUUCUGAUCUCAGAAGCUAAGCAGGGAUGGGGCUGGUUAGUAUUUGGAUGGGAAGCCACCUGGGAAUACCAGGUGCUAUAAGUU
rfam:Neotoma lepida isolate 417 scaffold_1281, whole genome shotgun sequence.